GGGGCCGUUCCUCUACUACCCUCCGACCGUGUCGAUACCAGUCAGUGAUCACGCCGCGUCGGUCGGUAAUCAGCUGGUUCGUGGUUAGAACCGCGCGUGGAUAUUGUUCAACGAUCGCAAGCUACGCGGUACACCGUCCAGUUGCUGCUGCAGCUGAAUGACCGGACGCCGAGACGUGGAGGUACAAGUGGUUGUGUACGAGAUUAAAAUCGAUAACGGCCGUCACUUUUUGUCUUUGUCGUGUUGCGCAAUCAUACUACGACGGCUGACGGAGACGCCACUGGCCGUUUAUUGUUUCAUCAGUGACACACCGACGCGACAUCGGGUCUUUUUCGUUUGCCGUUCGCGCCUGUUUAUCCGUUGCUGAAUAAUGUUCGCCUCGUUUGUCACUCGUUAUUGGCCCCGCCAUUGAGCCAUCCGCUCGUUCGUGUAGUCCGUUUUGGUUGAAUAAUAAUAAAUGUCAUUGCCCGACGGCUAGUACAUCAGUAAAGUUUUUCCCGGUGCACGUCGUCGUUUCGUUUAUAACGCUCAAAUUGUCUGUCUACUACCAACGGAAAGAGCAAAAAUAUAUUCUUGUCCAAAUACUGCCAAUAACUCAAAACUUCACAUAACGACCUCUAAAAAAAUAAGAAAAUGGAGUCUUCUAUGCAUGUAGACGAUAGUCAACUGGAAAACGAAAAACUUACUUUAGAUGUGUGUAUAAUGUUGAAUUAUAAUGUCCCAGUUCAAAAAUCUGCAGAUACUGUACAAGUGGAAGAAACUGAUAACUCCUCAAAAGCAAAUACUGCAGCUUUUAAUAUAUUAAGUCCGGUACCACAAAAGGAGGAAAAACAAUUUAGUUGCUUGUUUUUCAUCGUAUGACUGCCAAUUACUUUGUCGUAAACACAUUCAUGAAAAACAUAUGAAGAAUGUAACUACUACAAUUUUAAGAAGGGAAAAAGCAAAAAAAUAUUCUUGUCCAGAUACUGCCAACAACUCAAAACUCCACAUAACGACCCCCCCAAAAAUAUAAGAAAGUGACUCAACUUUGCACAUAGACAAUAAUCAACUGGGUAACAAAAAAAGUAAUGAAGUUGCGAGUAUGAUGUCCCUACUCAAAAAUCUGCAGAUACUGAACAAGUGGAAGAAACUGAUAACUCCUCAAAAACAAAUACUGCAGCUUUUAAUAUAUUAAAUCCGGUCCUGAUUAAAUCGGCGUGCUACCGAGAAAUUCUCGGAAGGACAGCGGCUCAAAUUUGGAACUGAAGAAAGAGUUUAAUAUGUUAUUAAAAAUUAAAAAUAUAAGAUUAUCGCAGAGGCGUAUGCAGGAUUUUUCAACUGGUAGGGGGGGGGGGGGCUUGAAAAUUAGUUACAUUUUUAUUUAUAUUUUGUCCAUUCUAAUAAUUUCAGACGUUUAUUUGAGUUAUUUUAAAAUGUUUGUAACUUCUCAACUUUUCUGGUAGAAAAAAUGCUCUAAUCAUAAACUUCGAUGCCUGAUGUAUGUUUUUGGAAGCAAAUUGGAUUGGAUCUAGUUGGUACUUUUAGGAGGUCGAAAUUAAAAAUGCUCAGUGCUUUUUAAAAUAAUUAAAGAAAAAAAAAAUUAUUAAAAUUGUUUGGUAACUAGUUUGGUUGUACCGUCCUCACUUGGAUUGUACUUGAUUAAUU